CCUUAACUUAUUUUACACCCCUUUCUUUCUCUCCCGCUUAGAAGCUCUCUGUUUUUUUUUUUUUUUGCAAACAACAUCAGAUCUAUAUGUGUUCAUUUAGAUCUUUUAGUUUUCAUUUUAUUUUUUAGAUCCUAGAGCUUCUUAUGUUAAACAUGGGUUUGCAUGUUUUGAGUUUUGUCUUCGGGUUUUUUUUUUUCACAUUUUUUGUUCGAACGACUGGAUGUUUUUUGGUUCUCAUUUCAUUUUUUUUAAAAUAGAUGAUUUUUUUUGGUCGUUUGAUGGUUUUUUUUUUUUUUUUUUUCCGUGAAGCCCUUCGUUAACUUUAACUGAUAUUUUUUUAAAAUCCAUGUUUUUUUUUUUUUCUGUAUAGAUCAGUUUCCAUGUUUUUAUUCUCUAUUUUUACUAACAUCCAUCAGAAAGUUAUGAUCUUUUUGUUUGUAAAUUGGAUUCUCUUACGGGGUUUCAGAUCUAUGAUUCAAUGGUCUUUUUACCUGAAAUUUUUCCUCUCUUCAGUGGUGUAGUACGUUUAAAUGUGUUAAUAGAUUUGUGAUUUUGUUUGUUUGUUUGUGUUUGGAUUUGUGUAGGUGAGGAUUCAAUUGGGUUAGGGAUCAGCAGCCCAAGGGCGAGGACCAUGCUUGAGGAGGAGGGCUUUGGUGCCUUUUACAAGCUUCCAUUCCAAAGCAAUAGCUGGCACACGUACAGAAGGGGAAAACUCGUGUGCAGAAGGGGAAAAAUAAGAAGAAAUGAGACUCUAGUUUUUCAAAAUUGUAACUUAUUAUAAUGUUUUGUCAUUAUAAUUCAUAGGAAAAGACAAUAGUAUUCCUGCCUAAUUAAUUUGGCACUAUUUUUCUUCAAAAAAUUCAGUUAUUAUAUUAAUGGAAUUUAAACAGACAA